GAGUAACACGUGGAUAAUCUGCCCUGCACAGGGGGACAACAGCUAGAAAUGGCUGCUAAUACCGCAUAAGCCUACAGCCUCGCAUGAGGGAGCAGGAAAAGAAAUUCGGUGCAGGAUGAGUCCGCGUCUGAUUAGCUAGUUGGAGGGGUAAAAGCCCACCAAGGCAACGAUCAGUAGCCGGCCUGAGAGGGCGACCGGCCACAUUGGGACUGGGACACGGCCCAAACUCCUACGGGAGGCAGCAGUGGGGAAUAUUGCACAAUGGGGGAAACCCUGAUGCAGCGACGCCGCGUGAGCGAGGAAGUAUUUCGGUAUGUAAAGCUCUAUCAGCAGGGACGAAAAAAGACGGUACCUGACUAAGAAGCCCCGGCUAACUACGUGCCAGCAGCCGCGGUAAUACGUAGGGGGCAAGCGUUAUCCGGAUUUACUGGGUGUAAAGGGAGCGUAGACGGCAAGGCAAGCCAGAAGUGAAAGGGCAGGGCUCAACCCUGUACAUGCUUUUGGAACUGUGGUGCUAGAGUGCAGGAGAGGUAAGUGGAAUUCCUAGUGUAGCGGUGAAAUGCGUAGAUAUUAGGAGGAACACCAGUGGCGAAGGCGGCUUACUGGACUGUAACUGACGUUGAGGCUCGAAAGCGUGGGGAGCAAACAGGAUUAGAUACCCUGGUAGUCCACGCUGUAAACGAUGAAUACUAGGUGUUGGGGGCUGAAGCCUUCGGUGCCGCAGCAAACGCAAUAAGUAUUCCACCUGGGGAGUACGUUCGCAAGA
rnacentral:rRNA from 1 species